AUGUGUUUGUAUUGUAAUUAUCUUGUGCAAUACAAUAAUACUAUGACCUAAUAGAUAAAGCCUAACAACAGGCAUUUAUUUACAAAACAUGUCAAACAAAAGGUGGAAUAAUUUAUAUUCCCUGUGAAAUGAUCAUAACGAUUAGUUUUAAGGGCCUUUAGUUUACUCAAGUAAUUAUCUUUUGUGUACGGUGAAAUACUUUGGAUAAGUAAUGUGUCCUGCGUACUGUGCGUGUGCAGAAGCUAUUUACAUAAAGUGACAUUUCCACUAUUUCUACCACCAUAAAAUAUGUCACAUGUGGUAACAUCUGAUCUUGUUCACAUUGUUCUGCAGCUGUGCAAAAGCCAUUGUAGACUUUCUCUUCCCUUUUCGGCAAUUUGAGGAAGAAAUGAAGCUUUUUUUCAGCACUAGCCUUUUGUUUUUUUUUUACCGCUUCCACCUUUUGAAAAGGCCAAAUGUUUACAUUUGUCACUAAGUGGAAAGUGGACAUUUUGUUUCUCACAUGAAAAAUACUUUGGUUUUCCAUGUAUUGGAUUCAAAUCUCAAAUUUCAGAAAGUGUCACUAUCACACUACAAUUUAAGAAUGAAUAUAAAUUGAAUGCAUUUGGGAAGGGAAGCAGCUUUUGUAUUUUAGUUGCAUUGAUAAGAAAAUGUGUAGAGCACUGAGGUUUAAAGGAAAGAUAUUUUGUUUUCUGCUACUCACCUGUUCCACAAGCUGUGCGUGAUGACCGUGCAAGAUUUACAGACCUUGUUGCCGUCAUUCCAGUUUUCCAAUGAGGUGGAUAUUAAAUACCAACUAUUGCCAAACCUUUUCCAUUUGAUGGGAACAGCAAACUCUUUAUGUGUAACAACACAAAAUGAUGUACAUCCUCCCUGAAUAAUACAAUAAUAUCCAAGAAAUAUAUAAAACAUAUGCCAAUAACCAGUAUCUCCUCAGUCGGGCUGUUUUCUCACUUCACCCAGUUCAACUCUGAACUACUUAUAUCAGUAUACUGUACAGCUUUCCUGGGAAUUAAGAGCCCACAUAGAAUUUACUAAAUGGAAAGAAAUAGAGGAAAUCCUUUAUCCAUCACUAUUUGUGAUGUACAUUUUGAAGCAGUUACAUCAUCAUCUCAUUUAUCUACAAAUUAUUGUUCAACUAUUAAUUAAAAGCCUGUCGAUUAACCAACUUCUUCUCUCCGGCUGUGUCCAACACGUUUAUAUUAUGUUUAUAUUAUAUUUAUAAUAUUUAUUACGAGGGUUAUAGUGCUCCCUGUUUUUAGUAAAUCAGAAGUACAGAACAAGUCAUACUCAGAACCAACAAUGCAGGUAGCAAAUCCUUUUUUAAAGUUUCCCUUAAGUAAAGAGUACCUAUCCAGCCAUCUAUAUUACCAUCAUUUACUAGUUCUUAGCAGUGAGGAUUUUACAUUUCCACCAUGCACCUGAAAGGCUAAAUAAGUAAAAGUGGUCAACUAACACGACUCAUCCAACCAGCUCUCUGCUUCCUGUGACGGUGACCUCAGUACCACAUACGUGAAUGGUGUGCUGCCAUCUGUGUUUCUAUGUUUGUCGCCUUGUUUGAGCACAUCUCAGAACAAUCAUUUCUUCAUAUCAGAAGCACACUCUCAAGACAUCGGGACGCCAAGGGCCAAACUGUGCAGUCAACACAGCUGAACAUCAUGUAUGAACUGAACGACAUCUAUGCCAAUGUGGAGGACCUGUCGGGCAAACGAAGGAGUAUAUCCCAAAGCUCUGAAGUGUUUAUGAAAAUGUGAUGAUCAACACUCUGAAGCCAAGCAGAAGUGGACCCUCGCCCUCAGGUGUUGGAGAUGUGAAGAAGAGUUCCUUUAGAGCCGUGGCAGUGCUUCUGGGUCUCCUGAGUUUCUUCCUUCUGACAGGACUCAUAACUUCGGUUUGCCUGUUCACCAAAGGCAUCUCACAGAGGGAAAUGGAGAUAAUCCUGUUACAGACCAGUUACACCAACCUGACUAAAGAAAGAGACAACCUCUUGAAAGGAGUUCAACACUUGGGCAAUGAACUAAAUAUUUGUCUCACAAAGAUACAAACAAAUGCGUUAUCCAACCAAAGACGGGCGUAUAAUGGCGUAUUUCAUGGACGGGUAAGAAGAGAUGGAAAUGGGUGGAUGGGACGCCGCUGACCAAAAGGUCGGAGCAGAGUUGAAGAGGUAACAUACUCUAUGGUGUUCUAAAGUAAUAUUGUUUGACCUACUGUGACUAAGACAACACAUUAAUUAAGUUUUCUCAACAGAUGUUGAUAACUACUUUUUUCAAUCUUGAUCAAACACCUUUUCUAAGGAAACACACAUUUUGAGUUGAUAUUGAGUUGCUGUGCCGUUUCUCGGUGUGCCUUCUUUUAAAUAAAAAGUGUACUUUGUU